rnacentral:rRNA from 1 species
CCUACGGGUGGCAGCAGUGAGGAAUAUUGGUCAAUGGGCGAGAGCCUGAACCAGCCAAGUCGCGUGAGGGAGUACUGCCCUAUGGGUUGUAAACCUCUUUUGUCGGGGAGCAAAAGCCGGACGUGUCCGGCUGUGAGAGUACCCGAAGAAAAAGCAUCGGCUAACUCCGUGCCAGCAGCCGCGGUAAUACGGAGGAUGCGAGCGUUAUCCGGAUUUAUUGGGUUUAAAGGGUGCGCAGCCGGAUUUUUAAGUCAGCGGUAAAAUCGUGGGGCUCAACCCCAUCCAGCCGUUGAAACUGGGGAUCUAGAGUGGGCGAGAGGUAUGCGGAAUGCGUGGGGUAGCGGUGAAAUGCAUAGAUAUCACGCAGAACCCCGAUUGCGAAGGCAGCAUACCGGUGCACAACUGACGCUCAGGCACGAAAGCGUGGGUAUCGAACAGGAUUAGAUACCCGGGUAGUC